rnacentral:ncRNA from 1 species
UAUCUGGUUGAUCCUGCCAGUAGUCAUAUGCUUGUCUCAAAGAUUAAGCCAUGCAUGUCUAAGUACAAACCUUAAUACGGUGAAACCGCGAAUGGCUCAUUAAAUCAGCUAUGGUUCCUUAGAUCGUCUCAUCCUACUCGGAUAACUGUGGAAAAUCUAGAGCUAAUACGUGCUUACAAGCCCUGACCUCACGGGAGGGGCGCAUUUAUUAGAUCAAAACCAAUCGGGGCUUGCCCCGUCUGCUUGGUGACUCUGGAUAACUUUUGUGCUGAUCGCAUGGCCUCUGCGCUGGCGACGUAUCUUUCAAGUGUCUGCCCUAUCAACUUACGAUGGUAGGUGAUAUGCCUACCAUGGUUAUAACGGGUAACGGGGAAUCAGGGUUCGAUUCCGGAGAGGGAGCCUGAGAAACGGCUACCACAUCUAAGGAAGGCAGCAGGCGCGCAAAUUACCCACUCCCGGCACGGGGAGGUAGUGACGAAAAAUAACGAUACGGGACUCUUUUGAGGCCCCGUAAUUGGAAUGAGUACACUUUAAAUCCGUUAACAAGUAUCUAUUGGAGGGCAAGUCUGGUGCCAGCAGCCGCGGUAAUUCCAGCUCCAAUAGCGUAUAUUAAUGUUGCUGCAGUUAAAAAGCUCGUAGUUGGAUCUGAGGACUCGAAUUGGUGGUGCACCAUACGGUGUUACUGCCGAUUCGGCCCU